AAGAAGAAAGGGGAAGCAGGUGGAAAAGCAAUUAAAAAAAAAUCAGCAUCUCUCUCUAGCCUAUUAUCUCCUGUUAGACACAGCCCAGAAAAUGAAUAGAGACAAGUCCUGGCUGGGUCUGGGUUCAGAAACAUAAUAGAAGGAUUCAUCUAAUCUGUCGGCCACUGUGGAGGAAGUGAACCUUCUAGAUCCUGCUGACUCAUACAAUGAGUUUUGUGUGGACCAUCAGACAAAAGGGCUGGCUGGUGAAGGUGGCUGUUGUCUGGAAAUUCCUCCCAGCUCUCCUCUAAUUAUGUCAUAAGGACUGGAGGCCCCUUAGCCUGCUUGUGAUAACACGCAAGGAAAUAUGGGCCAACUCUUCACAUGAACACAAGAUAUUUCCAUGCUAGCCUUUUGCAAGUAACAACAGAGAGAGCUCUGUGCAGUUUUCACUGGAAUGCCUGUGGAUUGCUUGUGUCAUAACUGUAAUCUAAAGAGUUGUCCAUUUGUUGAUUCCUUUGUAUUUGUAUUGGUAGAAUUGCCACUAUCAAACCAAGAUCUUUAGCUGCCUUUGUAUCAACUUCUUUGGAGCUUAUGUGAUUUUCCAGAAAAUUUCCAAGGCAUAGUUUUGUCCCUAAGUCCCAUGAAUAUGUAAUAUUUUGUGUCUCUCUAUUAAAAUAGCACUUUU
rnacentral:lncRNA from 1 species